ACUACGGGUGGCAGCAGUGAGGAAUAUUGGUCAAUGGACGCAAGUCUGAACCAGCCAUGCCGCGUGCAGGAAGACGGCUCUAUGAGUUGUAAACUGCUUUUGUACGGGGGUAAACGCAGAUACGUGUAUCUGUCUGAAAGUAUCGUACGAACAAGGAUCGGCUAACUCCGGGCCAGCAGCCGCGUGAAUACGGAGGAGUCAAGCGUUAUCCGAAUUUAUUGGGUGUAAAGGGUGCGUAGGCGGUCGGAUAAGUUAGAGGUGAAAGCCCGGGGCUCAACCUCGGAAUGGCCUAUGAUUCUGUUCGGCUAGAGAGUAGUUGCGGUAGGCGGAAUGUAUGGUGUAGCGGUGAAAUGCUUAGAGAUCAUACGGAACACCGAUUGCGAAGGCAGCUUACCAGGCUACUUCUGACGUUGAGGCACGAAAGCGUGGGGAGCAAACAGGAUUAGAUACCCCUGUAGUC
rnacentral:rRNA from 1 species